GUGUACCAUGGCUGUGUAGGGACAUAUAACAUAUUGUUGUUGUUUUGUCACUUUGAAAUAACUUAAAACAUUUAAAUGUAAAGUGAUACAGUGUAUACGAAGGCAUCAUUGGUAAUUACAGAGCUGAAUAUUUAGUAAAUAGUCUCUUUCCCUCCAGCUAAGUUUGAUUUAAACUUUAUUAACUGUCACAAGUUUUUUCAGCAGCAAAAUGUGAAGUUUUUCUUAUUUUGUGAAGUCUAAAUAAUCCGAUUUAUUCAAAUCUCAUUUGAUUCCAAGUUACUCAAACCCACGCACCCCUCACGCUCCAAAGCGUGUCCACAACUUGUUCCCAUCCCACAAUGCAUUGCUGCAUAUUUGAUGCCCUCUUCAGUUCAGUGAGAGUGCACAAUGGUAGCUAAAGAUUGAAAGGUGUCCACACUGUUAAUGUGGGACUAUAAACUAUUGAGUGUAGCAGGGAAUAGUUAAUGAGAAGUAAGAAGUGAUUUCGUUUCAAACAGCAGCCAUGGAGCUGACUGCAGCCGGAGCUCCAGGUGAGUUUAAUUAACAGAAAGCUACAUGUGUUCAGCGACAGACACAACAGUAAAACCCUGUCCUUCAGCCAUGGAGGAGAAUUUAAAAAAAGUCAUCUUGUUGGGGGGGGGGGACUCUCAACCCUGUAGCUGACGCCUACAGGCGGUCCGCGGACCCCACUUUGGGAAACAUCCCACUCUGUUUUUUGGGAGAAGAAGCCGCCCACGUGACAGGGGCAGCAGCAGCCAGCACACCGCCGCUGCUCGUUUGACAGCUUGCACGGCGCCGCGCGGAGAAGAAGCGAGCCGGGCGGAGAGACGGAGACUCUCGUCGAGGGAAACCGAAUAAAAGACUCCGUUUGCAGCACAAGAACUCCGCAGACUCCUCCGACCAGACGGCAGCCGGCACGCACACCAUGGACGGUUAUGCCCGGACCGAAGAUGAGCUGUUCUCCUCCUGCCUCCUGAACCUCACCUGGGAGAAUUGCUACGAGCAGACGUGCUCCUACAUCGCCCUGGAGCUCGCCGCACGCGCCCAGAUGGACCCCUGCCAGGAGAAAAACAAACCACACCAUGCUUUUAUCUCCCCACCUUCUCU
ensembl:lncRNA